AUUUACAGCCACAUCUAGUUAAAAACGCAGGUUCUCAUCUGACCACCGAAGUAAAGUAAGGUUGAGCUUAGUUAAUAUUUAGACUGGUGGUUUUAUCUUGGAGACCCAGGUGCUCUAUGCC
rnacentral:rRNA from 1 species